rnacentral:sRNA from 1 species
GGGUGUGGUGGUGCACACCUGUAAUCCCAGAAACUUGGGAGGCUAAGGCAGGAGGAUUGUGAGUUCAAAACCAGCCUCAGCAACUUAGUGAGGUCCUAAGCAAGACCCUGUCUCUA